GAUAUUUUUGUUAUUUUGUAAUCGAGUACCUUUUUAAAGGUCUAAUGGCUCCCAUCAGGUGUUGUGUGCAGACGGAGGAAAAAUUCAACGAGUAAACAUAUUUAAUCCAAA
rnacentral:lncRNA from 1 species